UAGGGAAUCUUCCGCAAUGGACGAAAGUCUGACGGAGCAACGCCGCGUGAGUGAUGAAGGUUUUCGGAUCGUAAAGCUCUGUUGUUAGGGAAGAACAAGUGCGAGAGUAACUGCUCGCACCUUGACGGUACCUAACCAGAAAGCCACGGCUAACUACGUGCCAGCAGCCGCGGUAAUACGUAGGUGGCAAGCGUUGUCCGGAAUUAUUGGGCGUAAAGGGCUCGCAGGCGGUUUCUUAAGUCUGAUGUGAAAGCCCCCGGCUCAACCGGGGAGGGUCAUUGGAAACUGGGAAACUUGAGUGCAGAAGAGGAGAGUGGAAUUCCACGUGUAGCGGUGAAAUGCGUAGAGAUGUGGAGGAACACCAGUGGCGAAGGCGACUCUCUGGUCUGUAACUGACGCUGAGGAGCGAAAGCGUGGGGAGCGAACAGGAUUAGAUACCC
rnacentral:rRNA from 1 species